UACGUAGGGUGCAAGCGUUGUCCGGAAUUAUUGGGCGUAAAGAGCUCGUAGGCGGCUUGUCACGUCGGGUGUGAAAGCCCGGGGCUUAACCCCGGGUCUGCAUUCGAUACGGGCUAGCUAGAGUGUGGUAGGGGAGAUCGGAAUUCCUGAUGUAGCGGUGAAAUGCGCAGAUAUCAGGAGGAACACCGGUGGCGAAGGCGGAUCUCUGGGCCAUUACUGACGCUGAGGAGCGAAAGCGUGGGGAGCGAACAGG
rnacentral:rRNA from 1 species